rnacentral:rRNA from 1 species
UACGAGAGGCCCAAACGUUAUUCGGAAUUACUGGGCUUACAGAGUUCGUAGGCGGCUCAGAAAGUUGGGUGUGAAAUCCCUCGGCCCAACCGAGGAAUUGCGCUCAAAACUACUGAGCUUGAGGGGUAUAGAGGUAAGCGGAACUGCGAGUGUAGAGGUGAAAUUCGUAGAUAUUCGCAAGAACACCAGUGGCGAAAGCGGACUUCUGGGUAGUUACUGACGCUGAGGUACGAAAGCGUGGGGAGCAAACGGG